AACCAGGGAAGAAUGUUACCUGCAGGUAAUGAUGGAGGCUCCAGUGUGAUCGCUUCAGUACCUGAUGACAACUGUCUUACUAGAGAGAAACUAAACUUGGAACAGACAAAAAAUGAAGAUUCUGACAUUUACCAUGUGUACGCCACCAUCUCUGAAGCAACAGAUCCACCAGAUUCAC